GUCCAGCAAUUCUUUCACCUUGUCCAUCAUUCUUUCCCCUUGUCCAGCUGCUGGACAAGGUGAAAGAAUGCUGGACAAGGUGAAAGAAUUCUUUAC
rnacentral:pre_miRNA from 1 species